rnacentral:rRNA from 1 species
CUCCUACGGGGGGCAGCAGUGGGGAAUAUUGGGCAAUGGGCGCAAGCCUGACCCAGCAACGCCGCGUGAAGGAAGAAGGCUUUCGGGUUGUAAACUUCUUUUGUCAGGGACGAAGCAAGUGACGGUACCUGACGAAUAAGCCACGGCUAACUACGUGCCAGCAGCCGCGGUAAUACGUAGGUGGCAAGCGUUAUCCGGAUUUAUUGGGUUUAAAGGGUGCGCAGGCGGAGGUGCAAGUCAGUGGUCAAAUUGCGGGGCUCAACCCCGUACUGCCGUUGAAACUGCAUCCCUUGAGUGCGCGAGAA